AGCGAACGCUGGCGGCAGGCCUAACACAUGCAAGUCGAACGGACCUUUCGGGGUUAGUGGCGGACGGGUGAGUAACACAUGGGAACGUGCCUUUAGGUUCGGAAUAGCUCCUGGAAACGGGUGGUAAUGCCGAAUGUGCCCUUAGGGGGAAAGAUUUAUCGCCUUUAGAGCGGCCCGCGUCUGAUUAGCUAGUUGGUGAGGUAAUGGCUCACCAAGGCUACGAUCAGUAGCUGGUCUGAGAGGAUGACCAGCCACAUUGGGACUGAGACACGGCCCAAACUCCUACGGGAGGCAGCAGUGGGGAAUCUUGCGCAAUGGGCGAAAGCUUGACGCAGCCAUGCCGCGUGGAUGAUGAAGGUCUUAGGAUUGUAAAAUCCUUUCACCGGUGAAGAUAAUGACUGUAGCCGGAGAAGAAGCCCCGGCUAACUUCGUGCCAGCAGCCGCGGUAA
rnacentral:rRNA from 1 species